CAGCCGCCACGGGAAUACGUAGGUGGCAAGCGUUGUCCGGAAUUAUUGGGCGUAAAGGGCUCGCAGGCGGUUUCUUAAGUCUGAUGUGAAAGCCCCCGGCUCAACCGGGGAGGGUCAUUGGAAACUGGGAAACUUGAGUGCAGAAGAGGAGAGUGGAAUUCCACGUGUAGCGGUGAAAUGCGUAGAGAUGUGGAGGAACACCAGUGGCGAAGGCGACUCUCUGGUCUGUAACUGACGCUGAGGAGCGAAAGCGUGGGGAGCAAACAGGAUUAGAUACCCCCGUAGUCCCUGUCUCUUAUAC
rnacentral:rRNA from 1 species